AUUUGCAGGAAAAGUAGCCCACUGGCUGAAACAGUGUUCAGCAGCAGAGGAUCUGGUUAUGGUUCCCCACUCCCCCAACAGUUUAUCAUGAUGUCAGUUUUGGAGCCGGUGAGGCCAGGUUGAAUCCAAGGACGUGGAUGUGUGGACCUGGUUCUUCUGCUUUCUUGUGGCAUACAUGGCUCUUCUUCUGUUACAUGGGGACAAAAUUACAUGCUGCUCCAGGCAGUUAAAUGAGAAAAAAAUGCCUGGCCAAGAACCUAACAUUGGGGAUGAUCAAUACCUGUCAGUUUUCUGUUUGAGUCUUGGUUUCCUCACCUGUAAAUAGAGAUGUUCUGCAUAUUUACCAGUGCAUCACAAAGCUUCCACUUUUUGUAUUGCGUCUUGGGACACGAGAAGACUCUGGUGAUGCUCCUAGUGAUGCUCGCUACCUUCUGCCUGGAUGCAGCUUAGCCAGGAAGCAAUUCAAUCUCCGAUCACUUACCCCAGAGUGAGAAAAACAUCUGAAAUUUAUAGGACGUCUUUUGAAAUGACCCUCCCCUCCUCUCCUGCACUGGUAACAAGAUCAUGAAUAAAAACAACAAGCAUAGCCCUUCUGUUCUGGAGGGUGGCUGACAUAUCACAUCUCUGGGAGACUCCUGGCAGCUGUGCUCUGUCUUUUUGGUGAAUUCACAGACUCCUUCCUCAGGACAAAUAUUUUGGAGCA
rnacentral:lncRNA from 1 species